UAAUGUUGGAAACGAUUCCCAGACCGAUAGCGAACAAGUAGAGUGAUCGAAAGAUGAAAAGCACUUUGAAAAGAGAGUUAAACAGCACGUGAAAUUGUUGAAAGGGAAGCGCUUGCGACCAGACUCGCCGACGGGGUUCAGCCGGGAUUCGUCCCGGUGUACUUCCCCGCCGGCGGGCCAGCGUCGGUUUGGGCGGCCGGUCAAAGGCCUCCGGAAUGUAUCGCCCCCCGGGGCGUCUUAUAGCCGGAGGUGCAAUUGCGGCCUGCCCGGACCGAGGAACGCGCUUCG
rnacentral:rRNA from 1 species